CCCCCCUCUGUUCUGUGACAGGUGCCCACAGACCGAGCUGCUCCUGCACCGCCAACUGCUGCUGAUGACACUCUGUUUCUUGGUGUUGUCCCUUCCCCCGAUGCUGACCUCACUAGCAUGGCAUCACCUCAGAGCCAUGACGCUGGCAAUUGCUCUGACCUCAUGGAGGAGACGAAGACUUUCUCGUCAACUGAGAGUCUGCGACAACUUUCUCAACAGCUCAAUGGUCUUGUGUCUGAGUCUACCUCCUACAUCAACGGGGAGGGCCUCACAUCUUCCAACAUGAAGGCCUGGA